UAGGGAAUCUUGGACAAUGGGGGCAACCCUGAUCCAGCCAUUCCGCGUGAGUGAAGAAGGCCUUCGGGUUGUAAAGCUCUUUCGCAAGGGAAGAAAAGAUAUAGGUUAAUAGCUUAUGUUGCUGACGGUACCUUGAUAAGAAGCACCGGCUAACUACGUG
rnacentral:rRNA from 1 species